rnacentral:ncRNA from 1 species
GCCGUUAGGCCGAAUCUGAAGGAGGCCGGAGGCAAAUCCUCCGUCUGACGAACAGAAAUCCACAUAGAGGGCGUGAUGGGACGGACGAGCUUGCAAUGCAAAGUAAAGUCCAGUACUGCCCGAAUUCCAUCAUGCUAGAUGUGGCAGAUGGAUGAGGGGAAGGUUA